UGCGCGCUCGCGGCGGCUCGCGAAAACGUCGGGCAUCAUGCGGCGCAAUACCGUGGCGUACUGCGGGAUUUUCCCGAUCCUAACCUAGAUCCAGCCGCGAUCGUAGAUCCAUCGCGCGCUGACGGGUGUAGGAUCGACGAUCGUGUUCUCGUGAUUUCUUAAAAAUUUCCGAAGCGUAGGGCGAUGUGUCCCAGCUCAGGACAAAUAUAACGAUAAUCGACGAAGGAAGGGGAAGAACAGAAGGGAGAGAAAAUUCUGAACAUUGAGAAAGAUGAAUAUACGCUUACAAUUCUGCACAUGUAGCAACCGUAUCGCUGGAGAAUGUAGUGCGUGUAACUAUGGUAAAGUGCGUUUGGCAUGAAACUGUGAGCCUGACAUGUAAACGGAUAGUAGCAUUGUAAUAAUAACAAUAAUAGUACUGUGGAUAAAAUUUAUUGUUAUUCGGCAACGAUAUUGAUCGUCAAAAAGCUAAUCUCUCUAAUCGCUUGAAAUAUGAGCGCUGAGGAAAGACUUGUCACCGAGGUGCCUAGUAGCUUGAAGAAACUGGCACGUCUCGUCGUACGUGGAUUUUACUCGAUAGAAGAUGCAUUAAUUGUGGAUAUGUUGGUCAGGAAUCCAUGUAUGAAAGAAGAUGACAUUUGUGAAUUGCUCAAGUUUGAACGUAAGAUGUUGAGAGCCAGGAUAUCAACGUUGCGAAAUGACAAGUUCAUUCAAGUGAGAUUGAAGAUGGAGACAGGAUCAGAUGGCAAAGCGCAGAAAGUCAACUAUUACUUUAUUAACUAUAAGACGUUUGUAAAUGUGGUGAAGUAUAAGCUUGAUUUAAUGAGAAAGAGAAUGGAAACAGAGGAAAGAGAUGCAACCAGUAGAGCUAGCUUUAAGUGUCCGAGUUGUUUAAAGACAUUUACUGAUCUUGAAGUAAGUAAUAUGGCGGAUCAACUUUUUGACAUGAGAACCGGCGAGUUUAGAUGUACAUAUUGUCGGGAAAUAGUGGAAGAAGAUCAGUCUGCUCUUCCAAAGAAAGAUUCCAGAUUAUUAUUAGCAAAGUUCAAUGAACAGUUGGAGCCGCUCUAUAUACUAUUGAGGGAAGUAGAAGGAAUCAAAUUGGCACCUGAAAUACUGGAACCAGAACCCAUUGAUAUUAACACUAUUCGAGGUAUCGACAUGAGAAAACCGAGCAGUCUUAGAGGACCUAACGAACAGUGGUCAGGUGAAGCGACUAGAAUGUCAGGCUUCAUGGUGGAGGACACCAGAGUGGACGUUACCAUCGGAGACGAGUCUCCCGAUGACAGUGCAUCGAAUCACAGAAAGGAAAGACCUAUAUGGAUGAUGGAAAGCACAGUUAUCAAUGCCGACGGUUCACAGCCUGACGGCGUGAAUACGCAAGAUAGCAUCUUGGACAAAGCUGCAGCCACUGCCACAAAUACGACGAUGAAUAAUAAGCAAGGCGAGGACAUUAUGUCGGUGUUGCUGGCUCAUGAGAAGAAGGGCGGCACCAAUUCCACUUCUAUCAAAGCAGUGCUCCCACAGGAAUCCAGCGACAGCAGCGAUAACGAGGAGGAUGCGGAAAUGCAGGCAGUUGAUACCGGCGAAGUAGAGGCGAUGGAUUCCGAGGACGAUGAAUUAGUACCAACCGUGAGUGUCGGUGGCAAGACAGUCGCGAUCACCGACGUUAACGACACCUUGAUUGCGGAAAUGACGCCUAUAGAGAAGGAGGUUUAUAUCCAGACGUAUCAGGAAUAUUACUCGCAUAUGUACGACUAGACGAAGAACAACGAGAGUCGUCGUCUUCACAAUGCUCUGCAUAAGACUGAUAUUGAUUUGCGACAUAGCAAUCCUGACAGGAUCAUCCUGUACGUGUUUCUCUAUCGAUAAAUGUAAGACAGAUGCAUGUAUUCACUAUAGCAUUUGAAGG